GGCAAUGAGUUGCGCCUCGAGGGCCGCCAG
rnacentral:sRNA from 1 species